GACGAACGCUGGCGGCGUGCUUAACACAAGCAAGUCGAACGAUGAAGCUGGAGCUUGCUCCGGUGGAUUAGUGGCGAACGGGUGAGUAACACGUGAGCAAUCUGCCCUUGACUCUGGGAUAACUGCGGGAAACUGUAGCUAAUACCGGAUACGAGGCUCGAAGGCAUCUUCGGGUCUGGAAAGAAUUUCGGUCAAGGAUGAGCUCGCGGCCUAUCAGCUUGUUGGUGAGGUAAUGGCUCACCAAGGCGACGACGGGUAGCCGGCCUGAGAGGGUGCACGGACACACUGCGACUGAGACACGGCCCAGACUCCUACGGGCGGCAGAAGUGGGGAAUAUUUCACAAUGGGCGAAAGCCUGAUGCAGCAACGCCGCGUGAGGGAUGAAGGCCUUCGGGUUGUAAACCUCUUUUAGCAGGGAAGAAGCGAAAGUGACGGUACCUGCAGAAAAAGCACCGGCUAACUACGUGCCAGCCGCCGCCGUAA
rnacentral:rRNA from 1 species